rnacentral:lncRNA from 1 species
UUGUAAGCUCCUUUCAACUCCGGUUCAACCUUUGCUUUUCUUUGUUUUUGGCUCCACAUAUGUUAUGAAGGUUUUUUAGCAACCUCUUUAAUGCACGCACAAAGGUCUUACCAAAGUCAAGAUAAACUUUCUUUUUUAAGAAGAUCGGUUACAAAGACAAGGUCCAAGCAAAUUCAAGCCAAGUAAAUUUAUAUAUGUAUUAUCAUGUGUCCAUGGGUUUACAAAGCUGCCAAGAAGAAUUGAAGCUUGCUUGGAGGACUUCACUACUAGUGGAAGAUCCAAAAUCUUGAAGAAAGUCGUUUUAGGAGUUUAUAAAAGAAUCCCUACCUUAGAAUUUUGGCCAGUUUACGUCAAUUAUUUAAGAAAAAUUAGCAACAACUUAUCUUGAAAGACAUCUUUUGUACAAUUCGACUAGCC